UUAAGCGACUAAGCGUACACGGUGGAUGCCCUGGCAGUCAGAGGCGAUGAAGGACGUGCUAAUCUGCGAUAAGCGUCGGUAAGGUGAUAUGAACCGUUAUAACCGGCGAUUUCCGAAUGGGGAAACCCAGUGUGUUUCGACACACUAUCAUUAACUGAAUCCAUAGGUUAAUGAGGCGAACCGGGGGAACUGAAACAUCUAAGUACCCCGAGGAAAAGAAAUCAACCGAGAUUCCCCCAGUAGCGGCGAGCGAACGGGGAGCAGCCCAGAGCCUGAAUCAGUGUGUGUUAGUGGAAGCGUCUGGAAAGGCGCGCGAUACAGGGUGACAGCCCCGUACACAAAAAUGCACAUGCUGUGAGCUCGAUGAGUAGGGCGGGACACGUGGUAUCCUGUCUGAAUAUGGGGGGACCAUCCUCCAAGGCUAAAUACUCCUGACUGACCGAUAGUGAACCAGUACCGUGAGGGAAAGGCGAAAAGAACCCCGGCGAGGGGAGUGAAAAAGAACCUGAAACCGUGUACGUACAAGCAGUGGGAGCACGCUUAGGCGUGUGACUGCGUACCUUUUGUAUAAUGGGUCAGCGACUUAUAUUCUGUAGCAAGGUUAACCGAAUAGGGGAGCCGAAGGGAAACCGAGUCUUAACUGGGCGUUAAGUUGCAGGGUAUAGACCCGAAACCCGGUGAUCUAGCCAUGGGCAGGUUGAAGGUUGGGUAACACUAACUGGAGGACCGAACCGACUAAUGUUGAAAAAUUAGCGGAUGACUUGUGGCUGGGGGUGAAAGGCCAAUCAAACCGGGAGAUAGCUGGUUCUCCCCGAAAGCUAUUUAGGUAGCGCCUCGUGAAUUCAUCUCCGGGGGUAGAGCACUGUUUCGGCAAGGGGGUCAUCCCGACUUACCAACCCGAUGCAAACUGCGAAUACCGGAGAAUGUUAUCACGGGAGACACACGGCGGGUGCUAACGUCCGUCGUGAAGAGGGAAACAACCCAGACCGCCAGCUAAGGUCCCAAAGUCAUGGUUAAGUGGGAAACGAUGUGGGAAGGCCCAGACAGCCAGGAUGUUGGCUUAGAAGCAGCCAUCAUUUAAAGAAAGCGUAAUAGCUCACUGGUCGAGUCGGCCUGCGCGGAAGAUGUAACGGGGCUAAACCAUGCACCGAAGCUGCGGCAGCGACGCUGAUGCGUUGUUGGGUAGGGGAGCGUUCUGUAAGCCUGCGAAGGUGUGCUGUGAGGCAUGCUGGAGGUAUCAGAAGUGCGAAUGCUGACAUAAGUAACGAUAAAGCGGGUGAAAAGCCCGCUCGCCGGAAGACCAAGGGUUCCUGUCCAACGUUAAUCGGGGCAGGGUGAGUCGACCCCUAAGGCGAGGCCGAAAGGCGUAGUCGAUGGGAAACAGGUUAAUAUUCCUGUACUUGGUGUUACUGCGAAGGGGGGACGGAGAAGGCUAUGUUGGCCGGGCGACGGUUGUCCCGGUUUAAGCGUGUAGGCUGGUUUUCCAGGCAAAUCCGGAAAAUCAAGGCUGAGGCGUGAUGACGAGGCACUACGGUGCUGAAGCAACAAAUGCCCUGCUUCCAGGAAAAGCCUCUAAGCAUCAGGUAACAUCAAAUCGUACCCCAAACCGACACAGGUGGUCAGGUAGAGAAUACCAAGGCGCUUGAGAGAACUCGGGUGAAGGAACUAGGCAAAAUGGUGCCGUAACUUCGGGAGAAGGCACGCUGAUAUGUAGGUGAAGCGACUUGCUCGUGGAGCUGAAAUCAGUCGAAGAUACCAGCUGGCUGCAACUGUUUAUUAAAAACACAGCACUGUGCAAACACGAAAGUGGACGUAUACGGUGUGACGCCUGCCCGGUGCCGGAAGGUUAAUUGAUGGGGUUAGCGCAAGCGAAGCUCUUGAUCGAAGCCCCGGUAAACGGCGGCCGUAACUAUAACGGUCCUAAGGUAGCGAAAUUCCUUGUCGGGUAAGUUCCGACCUGCACGAAUGGCGUAAUGAUGGCCAGGCUGUCUCCACCCGAGACUCAGUGAAAUUGAACUCGCUGUGAAGAUGCAGUGUACCCGCGGCAAGACGGAAAGACCCCGUGAACCUUUACUAUAGCUUGACACUGAACAUUGAGCCUUGAUGUGUAGGAUAGGUGGGAGGCUUGAAGUGUGGACGCCAGUCUGCAUGGAGCCGACCUUGAAAUACCACCCUUUAAUGUUUGAUGUUCUAACGUUGACCCGUAAUCCGGGUUGCGGACAGUGUCUGGUGGGUAGUUUGACUGGGGCGGUCUCCUCCUAAAGAGUAACGGAGGAGCACGAAGGUUGGCUAAUCCUGGUCGGACAUCAGGAGGUUAGUGCAAUGGCAUAAGCCAGCUUGACUGCGAGCGUGACGGCGCGAGCAGGUGCGAAAGCAGGUCAUAGUGAUCCGGUGGUUCUGAAUGGAAGGGCCAUCGCUCAACGGAUAAAAGGUACUCCGGGGAUAACAGGCUGAUACCGCCCAAGAGUUCAUAUCGACGGCGGUGUUUGGCACCUCGAUGUCGGCUCAUCACAUCCUGGGGCUGAAGUAGGUCCCAAGGGUAUGGCUGUUCGCCAUUUAAAGUGGUACGCGAGCUGGGUUUAGAACGUCGUGAGACAGUUCGGUCCCUAUCUGCCGUGGGCGCUGGAGAACUGAGGGGGGCUGCUCCUAGUACGAGAGGACCGGAGUGGACGCAUCACUGGUGUUCGGGUUGUCAUGCCAAUGGCACUGCCCGGUAGCUAAAUGCGGAAGAGAUAAGUGCUGAAAGCAUCUAAGCACGAAACUUGCCCCGAGAUGAGUUCUCCCUGACUCCUUGAGAGUCCUGAAGGAACGUUGAAGACGACGACGUUGAUAGGCCGGGUGUGUAAGCGCAGCGAUGCGUUGAGCUAACCGGUACUAAUGAACCGUGAGGCUUAACCU
rnacentral:rRNA from 1 species